GAUGAACGCUGGCGGCGUGCCUAAUACAUGCAAGUCGAGCGAACGGACGAGAAGCUUGCUUCUCUGAUGUUAGCGGCGGACGGGUGAGUAACACGUGGAUAACCUACCUAUAAGACUGGGAUAACUUCGGGAAACCGGAGCUAAUACCGGAUAAUAUUUUGAACCGCAUGGUUCAAAAGUGAAAGACGGUCUUGCUGUCACUUAUAGAUGGAUCCGCGCUGCAUUAGCUAGUUGGUAAGGUAACGGCUUACCAAGGCAACGAUGCAUAGCCGACCUGAGAGGGUGAUCGGCCACACUGGAACUGAGACACGGUCCAGACUCCUACGGGAGGCAGCAGUAGGGAAUCUUCCGCAAUGGGCGAAAGCCUGACGGAGCAACGCCGCGUGAGUGAUGAAGGUCUUCGGAUCGUAAAACUCUGUUAUUAGGGAAGAACAUAUGUGUAAGUAACUGUGCACAUCUUGACGGUACCUAAUCAGAAAGCCACGGCUAACUACGUGCCAGCAGCCGCGGUAAUACGUAGGUGGCAAGCGUUAUCCGGAAUUAUUGGGCGUAAAGCGCGCGUAGGCGGUUUUUUAGUCUGAUGUGAAAGCCCACGGCUCAACCGUGGAGGGUCAUUGGAAACUGGAAAACUUGAGUGCAGAAGAGGAAAGUGGAAUUCCAUGUGUAGCGGUGAAAUGCGCAGAGAUAUGGAGGAACACCAGUGGCGAAGGCGACUUUCUGGUCUGUAACUGACGCUGAUGUGCGAAAGCGUGGGGAUCAAACAGGAUUAGAUACCCUGGUAGUCCACGCCGUAAACGAUGAGUGCUAAGUGUUAGGGGGUUUCCGCCCCUUAGUGCUGCAGCUAACGCAUUAAGCACUCCGCCUGGGGAGUACGACCGCAAGGUUGAAACUCAAAGGAAUUGACGGGGACCCGCACAAGCGGUGGAGCAUGUGGUUUAAUUCAAAGCAACGCGAAGAACCUUACCAAAUCUUGACAUCCUUUGACAACUCUAGAGAUAGAGCUUUCCCCUUCGGGGGACAAAGUGACAGGUGGUGCAUGGUUGUCGUCAGCUCGUGUCGUGAGAUGUUGGGUUAAGUCCCGCAACGAGCGCAACCCUUAAGCUUAGUUGCCAUCAUUAAGUUGGGCACUCUAAGUUGACUGCCGGUGACAAACCGGAGGAAGGUGGGGAUGACGUCAAAUCAUCAUGCCCCUUAUGAUUUGGGCUACACACGUGCUACAAUGGACAAUACAAAGGGCAGCGAAACCGCGAGGUCAAGCAAAUCCCAUAAAGUUGUUCUCAGUUCGGAUUGUAGUCUGCAACUCGACUACAUGAAGCUGGAAUCGCUAGUAAUCGUAGAUCAGCAUGCUACGGUGAAUACGUUCCCGGGUCU
rnacentral:rRNA from 1 species